rnacentral:lncRNA from 1 species
AUCUCCUGACCUCGUGAUCCUCCUGCCUCGGCCUCCCAAAGUGCUGGGAUUACAGGAGUGAGCCACCGCAACUGGCCUGGCAGUUCCUUAUUUAUAUACUUUGAUCUAUGCCCCGGAAACAUGCCCCUGUCCUCUACCAAGUACCUUCCUCUACGUACCCCAAUUUGUAACAGCAUUUGUUGCCCUCUAGUACUAGUAUCGAUUUCUCUGGUUUUUCCCAUUUGACUGUAAGAUCCUUUCAAGUUAUCUUAUUCCUACUACCACUUAAAAAUGACAGUGUAUGAAUCACUCAUUGACACUUAACUUGUGAAGAGGAAAAAGGGGCGUUUCCACUUAGAAUUAACUCAUAACUCAAAUUCUUAGUAUACUUAUAGCUGUCUGAAAAGCUGAAGAAUCUUUUAGUCUAAGCCAAAACAUCUGCUUACUCUUUUUGUUUUUGUUUUUUGAGGUUUGAGUCUUGCUCUGUAGCCCUGGCUGGAGUGCAGUGUGUGACUCGUCUCAAAAAAAAAAAAAAAAGGUACUUUCACAUUUCUAGCUUCAUCCUUUUUAGCCCUAUCACUACUCUUCUACAAGUUUCCUUCAUUCAAAUUGAACUAUUUUCACGUGUGUUUCUCCAGCAUUUGUUAUUAACAACUAAGUCUUACUUAUCUACCCUUUAAGGCCCAGCUCAAGACUAUUCCAUGAAGGAGAAAAUCGCAUACUUGUCUCUUGCUCCUGUUGCCAGUGCAGGCAACCCUGAACUCCUAGUUCCUUGGCACUCACAAUGACCUUGCAUUAUCAGCCAUUUUUUGGUGCCCUUAAGUUACUUGAUAACAGAAAUCUCAUUUAAUACUCCAAAUGCCUUGUCCUCAAGUAGAUUUUCAAUAUUUGCUAGUUUUAAAAAAUGUUUCUAUUCUAUGCAAGUAGUCCCUCGCAUCUUACCUAUUCCACAGGUAUUAAAAGCAAAAGUCCUUAAUAUUCCGAGAUUCGUUCUUAAGAUAUUCUAGAAGUGGGUAGAAAUCCUGGAAAAAAUGGCAUAUUGUAGCCUCCUUAGGGGCUCACAACGCAUAUCAGCUAUUAUAUCAGGAAAGAAAACAGUUUAAUUUUGCUUAACCUGGCACCUCGGGAUUACAGAAAGCUAGAAUGCUUUUGUAAAAUGUGGUACAAGCUACUAUGCAAGCAAACCAUCAGGCACCAUGGUUCUGGUGGCCUUUCAGAGUGGUAUCACUUAGAACCACUCAGAUGUGGCAUGUGGUAGCUGGGGCUCUCACUGCUGUCUUAGAACCUGGCUACUAGUUUAUAAGGAUUGUGUCUGGUCAGCUCUGAGAGGAGACUGAACUCCUACGAGAGGAUCUGACCAUGACCCAUACAUUUCCAAUUUUAUUACAAGUAACCCAAAGUCCCUUAAAACAUUAAGGCUGUAAUGGGAAUUAAAGACUGCCACACUAAUUUAUGACCUAAUGAAUUAAUUUUGAUUUAAUGGCAAAGAAAAAAAAGAACUACAAGAAAGUAUUAGUUUAGGACAUUUUGAGUAUAUUCAACGUCUGCCUCUUUACCAUUUCAAAGCAACACUGUCCACUUAACACAAGAAUAUUUGAGUUCAAGUUCUCAGACAUUAAAAGCAAAGACUAUAUUUUAAGUAAGUCAAUUAUUGAUUAUCUAUGGCAAACUGAGACUAAUUUCUCCUCUACCAUUCUCACUGGACUGCCUGCUAUCCUUUAGUUGUAAAGUGUGUAAUUCUAAGGCCAAAAACAAAGGACCUUUGGAUUUCUACUUCAAUUGCGAUCUUCUAUUAUCCUAUUCCAUUAACAAAUUCUCCCUCUGUUAUCUUUUUUUUUUUUUUGAGACAAGAGUUUUGCUCUUGUUGCCCAGG